rnacentral:lncRNA from 1 species
UCCGGUUGCUAUAGGUUGGAAGUGAAGUCCAAUGAUGUGCCCACAAAAAGAUUAACCACAAAGGUCACAGUGAAGUAUAUCAAGAAGCCGAGAAGUGGAGUCUCACAAAGAGAAGGGAAAAAUAGGCACACCAUAGGAGGCCGAGAGGAAGGAGGGAUUAUAUGCCAAGUAAAUGUCCAAAAUAGGUAAGUUAGGUUAGGGUUAAAUUGUGGACCAAAAACAAG